AACGAACGCUGGCGGCAUGCCUAACACAUGCAAGUCGAACGAGACCUUCGGGUCUAGUGGCGCACGGGUGCGUAACGCGUGGGAAUCUGCCCUUGGGUUCGGAAUAACAGUGAGAAAUUACUGCUAAUACCGGAUGAUGUCUUCGGACCAAAGAUUUAUUGCCCAAGGAUGAGCCCGCGUAGGAUUAGCUAGUUGGUGGGGUAAUGGACUACCAAGGCGACGAUCCUUAGCUGGUCUGAGAGGAUGAUCAGCCACACUGGGACUGAGACACGGCCCAGACUCCUACGGGAGGCAGCAGUGGGGAAUAUUGGACAAAGGGCGAAAGCCUGAUCCAGCAAUGCCGCGUGAGUGAUGAAGGCCUUAGGGUUGUAAAGCUCUUUUACCAGGGAUGAUAAUGACAGUACCUGGAGAAUAAGCUCCGGCUAACUCCGUGCCAGCCGCCGCGGUAAAAC
rnacentral:rRNA from 1 species